UAGAUUUGGUAGCCAGCUAGUAAGCAAAUCCCAUAAAUCUCCUUCCCAGUUGGUGUCUUCUUGACGGACUGCUGCCAGUCAGACCUGAAAGACAAAUCCUUGAAGAUGCAGAAGACACCUGGCUUACUGAUGGAAGCAGUUUUUUGAGACAAGGAAUCCGUAAGACAGGGUAUGCAGUAACUGCUACUGACAAGGUAAUCGAAGCACAACCAUUACCUGUGGGGACUUUCUCUCAGAAGGCUGAAAUAGCUGCCUUGACAGGAGCCUGGAAUAUAUGGACAGAUGCUAAUUAUGUAUUUGGGGUGCUACACGCUCAUAGCACCACCUGAAAAGAGCAAGGAGUGCUCACACACAAGGAAAAACAGCAUGAUGUAAAUCUACCAAAGAGCGUGGCUAUUAUAAAUUGUAAAGAACAUCAGAAAGGGAACACUGUACAGGAAACUGGGGAUAAGAUGGAGGAUCAGGUGGCAGAACAGGUAGUUGAAGAGGGCUUUAAUUCCAGACGGUAAACUUACAAUUUCUGAACAAGAGUCAGAACCUGUAAAAGAUUUUUAAGAGGAUAGCAAUCUAAUUAAUGAUUAAGAAGGGAAGAGAGCAGGAUGACAGAUGGACACAUUGUUUUGCCCUUCGGUAUUCUGUGGAAAUUGGUUCUAAGGGAGGAUAAGAAAAUGUAUUGGGCAAACGGACAUUACAAAGUACGAUCCUAGUACCAGGAAAGGGGUUCAAGUGGGCCUAUUGGGAAAGAGAACCUUCCAGGGCAACGAUGACCAAUUGAUUUCUCGAAACUCCCAAGAAAAGGGGGGUAUCGCUGUGUGUUGGUACUAACUGAUACCUUUUUGGGAUGGCCAGAGGUAUUUCCCUGUAGGACUCAUAAGACUCGGGAAGUAACGAGAAUGCUGUUACAUGAAUUAAUUCCAAGGUUCGAAGUUCCUGUAGCAAUCUCAUCAGAUUGAGGCCCACAUUUUUGCCAAGGUGGUCCAACAAAUAAGCACGUUAUUGGGAAUUGAUUGGCAAUUGCACACACCUUACAGACCGCAGUCAAGCGGACAGGUGGAAAAAUGAAUCACCUGAUCAAAUUACAGGUAGUAAAAUUUGGCCAAGAGGCUGGGAUUCCCUGGCCGCAGGCACUGCCUUUGGCACUUCUGAGAAUUCAGACUAAACCCCAAACCAAGGAAGGAUGAAGCCCAUAUGAGAUUCUUCAUGGGCGACCUUAUACUGUCCAAAAGGCAAUCUCUAUGCAGGUUGGGGAUAAGGUGUUGAGUGAAUAUAUGGUCAGCUUGGCGAAGCAAUUAAAGAAAAUUGAACAGUAUUCGGUGCCAGGGUACGAGGCCUAGAUGGUCCAGUGCAUGAUGUAUUGCCAGGAGACUAUGUUUAUGUUGAAUCUCUCUCAGAUUGACCUCUGGAAGCAAAGUGGGGAGGACCCUACCAAGUUCUCCUGACCACCCGUACCACCGCCAAGGUAGAGGGACUUACACCGUGGAUACAUCAUACCCGCCUGAAGAAAGCACCAGGACCACAGUGAACAGCAGAAGAGAGAGGGCCACUGAAAAUCAGGAUGCGAAAGCAUGUACAAGUGUUUGAUAAUAGUCAGUAUGAUUGGAGCAGUAGCCACAGCUUGGCAAGAGAAGAGCUACGUAAAAAUAACUGAGAAAAUUGGCCAGGAUCUCACCAAAUCUUGUUGGAUUUGCACUGCCCUCCCUAGAGGGGAGGGAAAGGUGCCAGUUUGUGGGAUAGUGGCACUAAAUUGGACCAUUCCAGAUUGGGUAGAGCACGGAAAGUGUAAGUUUGGGAUAGAAGACAGCCACAAAAGGGACCUAAGUUUGAUUUACUCGUUAUUAAGUGUACUAGAUCUACCUUUGUAGACAGAAAAACUGAUGGUAAAGGUGGGGUGGGGGUUGGAUGACGGAACUUGACAGGCAUAGGAUGUAGUGGGGAAUAUGGAAAUUCUGGGGCAGUAUGAGGGAUCAGUGAAGCUGGAAGGUGGAACCAAGGUGAGGGGUGUGAUCCUAGAACCGAUAAGGAGUCACACUGGGUCUCAAAUAAGAACGUACUUGGAAUUGUAGAGAUGGGAGCAUCAUUCACUCAUCAGGAAAAUAUGGCCAGGCCAUGUAAGUUACCUCAUGGAUACUCGUGGCUAUGUGGAGACGGCCAGUCACGAAAGGCGUUACCUUUAAAUUGGACAGGGACUUGUAUUACAAGAUACAUAAUACCCCAGACCACGGUGCAUGAGGAAAUCCCUUGGGGACUCCUGAGGACCCCUUGGAUUCAAACUAAGUGUACAUACAACCCCCUAGCUAGAUACAACAAGGGAUACCACAGCUUUCUGAGAGCCCUUAUCCCAGCUCUAGGAGUUACCCAUCUAGAAAAAGCUAUAGUAAAUAUCUCUGCAACUCUGGAAAUCAUAGAGAAUGCCACAAUGGGUGCAUUACGAGCAAUCCAAGAAGAGGUAUCCUCCUUAUCCAAAGUAGUACUCCAAAAUAGGAUGGCAUUAGACCUAUUAACAGCCAAGGAAGGAGGGGGUCUGAUUUCCGCACGUCAAGAGCUGCUUGUGUCCUGGGAGGAGAGCGAGCCGUUCCCUGUGUCUGUCAGAGGAGUGAAGGUGCCAAAAUGCCGGCCCAUCUGGGCAGGUGGGUGCAGCAGGGCCCAGAACGCAGGGAGGGGAAGCCAGAAGCACUGCGUGCUGCCGGGCUUCCUCCAGCUGGGUGGCACAACGUCCCCUUCCGUGGGCACAGCCCUGCUCCUGCUCUGGGCAGAGCCAAAUGGGGCUAAAAGGAUCCCAGCAGAGCGUGUCCCAGCGCUGGGCUGUGAUAACCACCAUCUGAUCUCUCCCUUAGGCAACACGCUGCCAAAGAGAGGGGAAGGAGAACUCCCGUCCUGCUUCUAGUAGUCCUUUCUGCUGGAGCCUUCCUCUGGAUAUUGGCAGCUUGGAAAAAUGACGUCCUGCAGGAAAUUGUGCAGCUGCCAAGAGAUGCAGUCGAGGAGGUGGUGGAACGCUCCACCUGGAUGCCCAGUUGGACUCUAAAAACCAUGGGUAUGUAGGCAGACAGCUUCACUACCCUCACCUUUGCCUCUGGCACUUCUCAAAGCCUGCCAAGCUUUGCUUUCUGACAGAGUUAUCUCAUAGAGCUUUAGGACGGCUGAGGUCUGAACGGACAUUACAGACCAUCCCAGUCCAACUCCCUGCCGUUGGAUGACAGGGCUGCCACCCUUUCCAUCACGCUGCUCAGGGCCCCAUCCAACCAGGUCUCCAACGCCUCGAGGAAUGGGGAAUCCAUGGCUUCUCUGGGCAGCACAUUGCAGAGGGCAGGGUCAAGGAUUUCCUCCUGACGUCCCAUCUAAAUCUCCCCUCUCUGACAAUGGAAAAAGCCUUCAGCUGUGCUCCCAGGGCUGACUGGCUCCUUGUUUUUUUUUCCCCUCCCUUUUAGCAGCUACCAGCUAUGAGUCUGCCCUUUAUUGUAGGAGCGCUGUGUAAGGGACUAAAAGCCACCCUGUUCUUUGCCAAUUAUUGGCCUAUAGUUAACAUCUUGCUGUGGAAUUGUGCUCAUAUAUAGCCAAAUAAGGGCCCUGAUGGAGACACCUGCCUGGUACUUUUAUGCAAUGUGGUGUGGAGAGAUUUAUUGAUGACUGGCUGACUGAGAAAAGCCAUGCAGACACUGUGCAGCUGGUUAAGCAACCUUGUUACGCGCAAGGUCAGGUAUGAGAACUAGGAACAAAACAGGAUGCCGAUGGA